rnacentral:misc_RNA from 1 species
AAGUCGUAACAAGGUAACCGUAGGUGAACCUGCGGUUGGAUCAUUAAUAAAAUCUAAUUGUUAGAGAGGUAAAAUUUUAUUUUGCUCUCUCUUUCAAACAUUUUGUGAACUGCUAUUGUUUUUGGUAGGGCUUAUAGGAUAAUUUCAUAUUAUCUGGAUCUAUGAGAAUAGUUUUACCUACCGCUUAAAUUUAAACAUUUAUUUAUUUAAUUACAAGUCUUCAAAUCUAAAAAAAUUUUACAAGUCUUCAAAUCUAAAAAAAUUUUGUUAUUAAAAUUUUUAAAAUUAUUUAAAAUUAUAAAACAACUUUUGACAACGGAUCUCUAGGCUCUCA